rnacentral:rRNA from 1 species
UACGUAGGGUGCAAGCGUUAAUCGGAAUUACUGGGCGUAAAGCGUGCGCAGGCGGUUUUGUAAGUCUGUCGUGAAAGCCCCGGGCUUAACCUGGGAAUUGCGAUGGAGACUGCAAGGCUUGAAUCUGGCAGAGGGGGGUAGAACUCCACGUGUAGCAGUGAAAUGCGUAGAGAUGUGGAGGAACACCGAUGGCGAAGGCAGCCCCCUGGGUCAAGAUUGACGCUCAUGCACGAAAGCGUGGGGAGCAAACAGG